UGGGUUGUGGCUCAGUGGUACAGUACUUGCCUCACUCACAUGAGGCCCUGUGUUCGAUCCUCAGCACCACUUAA
rnacentral:tRNA from 1 species